rnacentral:rRNA from 1 species
AUUGAACGCUGGCGGCAUGCUUUACACAUGCAAGUCGAACGGUAACAGGCCGCACGUUGCUGACGAGUGGCGAACGGGUGAGUAAUGCAUCGGAACGUGCCCAGUCGUGGUGGAUAUCUACUCGCUAGAGUAGCUAAUACCGCAUACGAUCUAUGGUUGAAAGCGGCGGACUGCAAUGCUUCGCGAGAUUGGUGCUGUCACUGUCAGAUUAGCUAGUUGGUGGGGUAAAGGCUCACCAAGCCAACGAUUUGUAGCUGGUCUGAGAGGACGACACGCCACACUGGAACUGAGACACGGCCCAGACUCCUACGGGAGGCAGCAGUGGGGAAUUUUGGACAAUGGGCGCAAGCCUGAUCCAGCAAUGCCGCGUGCAGGAAGAAGGCCUUCGGGUUGUAAACUGCUUUUGUACGGAACGAAACGGCUCUGGUUAAUACCCGGAGCUAAUGACGGUACCGUAAGAAUAAGCACCGGCUAACUACGUG